rnacentral:rRNA from 1 species
UACGGAAGGCAGCAGUGGGGAAUAUUGCACAAUGGGCGCAAAGCCUGAUGCAGCCAUGCCGCGUGUAUGAAAAAGGCCUUCGGGUUGUAAAGUACUUUCAGUCGUGAGGAAGGUGUUAAGGUUAAUAACCUUAGCAAUUGACGUUAGCGACAGAAGAAGCACCGGCUAACUCCGUGCCAGCAGCCGCGGUAAUACGGAGGGUGCGAGCGUUAAUCGGAAUUACUGGGCGUAAAGGGCACGCAGGCGGUUAAUUAAGUUGGAUGUGAAAUCCCCGGGCUUAACCUGGGAAUGGCAUUCAAGACUGGUUAGCUAGAGUCUUGUAGAGGGGGUAGAAUUCCAUGUGUAGCGGUGAAAUGCGUAGAGAUGUGGAGGAAUACCGGUGGCGAAGGCGGCCCCUGGACAAAGACUGACGCUCAUGUGCGAAAGCGUGGGGAGCAAACAGGGAUUAGAUACC